ACUCCUACGGGAGGCAGCAGUGGGGAAUAUUGGACAAUGCUCGCAAGAGUGAUCCAGCCAUUCCGCGUGCAGGAUGACUGCCCUAUGGGUUGUAAACUGCUUUUAGAUGGGAAGAAAGUGCGACAUUUAAUGUUGUUUGACGGUACCAUCAGAAUAAGGACCGGCUAACUCCGUGCCAGCAGCCGCGGUAAUACGGAGGGUCCAAGCGUUAUCC
rnacentral:rRNA from 1 species